rnacentral:sRNA from 1 species
ACAACUUUGUUUCUCUUAUUGUGGUGGGAAGGCGCAUGGGCAGGAUGGUGUAACCAUCCGGCGUUAGCCACCCAUGCGCGACACGGCAGGCUCCCGAAAGGAGCCUUUUUUUAUGUCUC